AUUAGAACCGCUUGUUCGGUGUCGCCGAUGUCUAAUGGACUUCCCGGACUUCGGUCGCCGCUCAUAUUAACUUCGCAAGGCUAGACAAAUCGAUUCUUUUACAUUUCUACCAAAACAUGGAAAUCGAAAGUAAUCAAA